rnacentral:lncRNA from 1 species
CGAGACCAGCCUGGCUAACAUGGUGAAACCCUGUCUUUACUAAAAAUACAAAAAUUAGUGGGGCAUGGUGGCGCGUGCCUGUAAUCCCAGCUACUCAGGAGUUUGAGGCAGGAGAAUUGCUUGAACCCGGGAGGCAGAGGUUGCAGUGAGCCGUGAUCGCACCACUGCACUCCAGCCUGGGCCACAGAGUGAGACUCCAUCUGAAAAAAAAAAACAAAAAACUAAAAAUAAACUUAUUCUCAACUCAGAUCUCCAUUCCAUGCUUAUGUUAAUUUGUACGACUGGUGAACUGCCCACAUGACAUUUAUAUUUGGAAAUCUCACAGAUGAGCCCAAAUCAAGAUAAGGAAAUGUGAUUACUUCAGUGAGGCUGUUGCUGGUUGGGUUAGCCUGGAUACCUUUCAGAAGCAUGUUCACAGGAGUGAAGCUGUUGCUGACAGGUGGUCAUAUUCUUUCUUAAAUUUGGAGUCUAAGAACUUUUUAUUCCCCCAAAUUAAUAACUCCAUUAAUACUUAGUCCCACAAAAAAUACUUUGUGGUAGAUAUUGUGG